rnacentral:rRNA from 1 species
ACGCAAGCUGAGGGGCAGCAUUACUUUCGGGUAGAUGGCGACCGGCGCACGGGUGCGUACGCGUAUGCAACCUUCCUUGUACAGAGGGAUAGCCCAUGGAAACGUGGAUUAAUAUCUCAUAGUAUCACAAUUUCGCAUGUUAUUGUGAUUAAAGCUUCGGCGGUACAAGAUGGGCAUGCGUAAGAUUAGGUAGUUGGUGAGGUAACGGCUCACCAAGGCGAUGAUGUUUAGGGGUCUGAGAGGAUAGUCCCCCACACUGGUACUGAGACACGGACCAGACUCCUACGGGAGGCAGCAGUGAGGAAUAUUGGUCAAUGGGCGCAAGCCUGAACCAGCCAUGUCGCGUGCAGGAUGACUGCCCUAUGGGUUGUAAACUGCUUUUUUACCGGAAUAAUUGCAUCUACGUGUAGGUGUUUGAAGGUACUGUAGGAAUAAGGAUCGGCUAACUCCGUGCCAGCAGCCGCGGUAAUACGGAGGAUUCGAGCGUUAUCCGGAUUUAUUGGGUUUAAAAGGGUCCGUAGGCGGGCGAUUCAGUCAGUGGUGAAAUCUUUCGGCUCCACCGGAAAACUGCCAUUGAUACUGGUUGUCUUGACUAUAGUUGAAGUACGCGGAAUACGUUAUGUAGCGGUGACAUGCAUAGAUAUUACGUUAGAACACCGAUUGCGAAGGCAGAUUACUAAGCUAUUAUUGACGCUGAUGGACGCAAGCGUGGGGAGCGAACAGG